CUAGCGUUGCCCCGUGACUCCAUUUCGUUUUGGUUUCCCGUCGCCAUCUUAAAACACUACGCAAUAGGAA
rnacentral:lncRNA from 1 species